rnacentral:rRNA from 1 species
GGUGAACGCUGGCGGCGGGCCUAAUACAUGCAAGUCGAGCGAACAGACGAGAAGCUUGUGCUCUUAACGUUAGCGACGGACGGGCGGGUGACAAGUGGAUAGGAUUCUUCUAUUUCUGGGGUAACUACGGGAGGAAAGUGCCGAUAAUGGAUCAUACAACGUACGGCUUGGUGCAAUAGAGAUUGGGGGCUUUGGUGAUUGAAUUAGCCGAUGUCGGAUUAGCUAGUUGGCGGGGUAAAGGCACACCAAGGCGACGAUCCGUAGCUGGUCUGAGAGGAUGAUCAGCCACACUGGAACUGAGACACGGUCCAGACUCCUACGGGAGGCAGCAGUAGGGAAUCUUGCGCAAUGGGCGCAAGCCUGACGGAGCAAUGCCGCGUGGGUGAAGAAGGUCUUCGGGUCGUAAAGCUCUGUUGUUGGGAAAGAAAAGCAGUAUGUUUAUCUAUGCACGUCCUGACGGUACCCAAAGAAUAAGCAACGGCUAACUUCGUG